GAUGAACGCUAGCGGCAGGCUUAACACAUGCAAGUCGAGGGGUAACAGGAGGUGCUUGCACUUUGCUGACGACCGGCGAACGGGUGCGUAACGCGUAUGCAACUUACCUUUUACUAGAGAAUAGCCAAGAGAAAUUUUGAUUAAUGCUCUAUACACUUAUUAAUUCUCAUGAAUCUAUAAGAAAAGCUCCGGCGGUAAAAGAUGGGCAUGCGUCCUAUUAGCUUGUAGGUGAGGUAACGGCUCACCUAAGCUCCGAUAGGUAGGGGUCCUGAGAGGGAGAUCCCCCACACUGGUACUGAGACACGGACCAGACUUCUACGGAAGGCAGCAGUAAGGAAUAUUGGACAAUGGAGGCAACUCUGAUCCAGCCAUGCCGCGUGAAGGAAGACGGCCUUAUGGGUUGUAAACUUCUUUUAUACAGGAAGAAACCUUUCCACGUGUGGAAAGCUGACGGUACUGUAAGAAUAAGGAUCGGCUAACUCCGUGCCAGCCGCCGCCGUAAAAC
rnacentral:rRNA from 1 species